rnacentral:rRNA from 1 species
UACGGAGGGUGCAAGCGUUGUCCGGAUUUACUGGGCGUAAAGCGCGCGUAGGUGGCUGUUUAAGUCAUCUGUGAAAGCCCGGGGCUCAACCCCGGGUCUGCAGGCGAAACUGAACGGCUAGAGCUCGGUAGAGGCGAGUAGAAUUCCCGGUGUAGCGGUGGAAUGCGUAGAUAUCGGGAAGAAUACCAGUGGCGAAGGCGGCUCGCUGGGCCGAAGCUGACACUGAGGUGCGAAAGCGUGGGGAGCAAACAGG